CCGGAUUCACUGGGCGUAAAGAGCGUUGAGGCGGUUCCGUAACUUGGGCGUGAAAGCUCCGGGCUUAACUCGGAGAUGUCGUUCAAUACUGCGGGGCUUGAGGACAGCAGAGGAAGGUGGAAUUCCCGGUGUAGUGGUGAAAUGCGUAGAUAUCGGGAGGAACACCCGUGGCGAAGGCGGCCUUCUGGGCUGUUCCUGACGCUGAAGGCGAAAGCUAGGGGAGCGAACGGGAUUAGAUACCCCGGUAGUCCUAGCUGUAAACGAUGGAUGCUGGGUUUGGGGGGUGUAAAUUCCCUCUGUGCCGAAGCAAACGCGUUAAGCAUCCCGCCUGGGGACUACGGCCGCAAGGCUAAAACUCAAACGAAUUGACGGGGGCCCGCACAAGCAGCGGAGCGUGUGGUUUAAUUCGAUGCUACACGAAGAACCUUACCUGGGUUUGACAUGCACGUGGUAGGGAACCGAAAGGGGACCGACCUUCGGGAGCGUGCACAGGUGCUGCAUGGCUGUCGUCAGCUCGUGCCGUGAGGUGUCGGGUUAAGUCCCGUAACGAGCGCAACCCUUGCCCUUAGUUACAAGUGUCUAAGGGGACUGCCCGGGACAACUGGGAGGAAGGUGGGGAUGACGUCAAGUCAGCAUGGCCUUUAUAUCCAGGGCUACACACACGCUACAAUGGCCGGUACAAUAGGUUGCGAAGUCGUGAGGCGGAGCCAAUCCUCAAAGCCGGUCUCAGUUCGAAUUGCAGACUGCAACUCGACUGCAUGAAGCUGGAGUUGCUAGUAAUCGCAGGUCAGCUAUACUGCGGUGAAUACGUUCCCGGGCCUUGUACACACCGCCCGUCACGUCAUGGAAGCUGGCAACGCCUGAAGCCGGUGAGCUAACCCGAAAGGGAGGCAGCCGUCGAGGGUGGGGCUGGUAACUGGGACGAAGU
rnacentral:rRNA from 1 species